rnacentral:rRNA from 1 species
UACGUAGGGGGCAAGCGUUGUCCGGAUUUAUUGGGCGUAAAGAGCGUGUAGGCGGCCAUGCAGGUCAGCUGUGAAAACUCGAGGCUCAACCUCGAGACGUCGGUUGAAACCGUAUGGCUAGAGUCCGGAAGAGGAGAGUGGAAUUCCCGGUGUAGCGGUGAAAUGCGUAGACAUCAGGAGGAACACCUGCGGUGUAGACGGCUUUCUGGACCAUUGCUGACGCUGAGACACGAAAGCGUGGGUAGCAAACAGG